ensembl:miRNA
GAGGGGGAAGGCGGGAGAAGAGAAGAGAGUGGUUUAUGGGCUCCUCACUCCUCCCCUCCCGUCUUGUUCUCUC